GACGAACGCUGGCGGCGUGCUUAACACAUGCAAGUCGAACGGAAAGGCCCCUUCGGGGGUACUCGAGUGGCGAACGGGUGAGUAACACGUGGGUGAUCUGCCCUGCACUCUGGGAUAAGCCUGGGAAACUGGGUCUAAUACCGGAUAGGACCGCGCGCUUCAUGGUGUGUGGUGGAAAGCUUUUGCGGUGUGGGAUGGGCCCGCGGCCUAUCAGCUUGUUGGUGGGGUAAUGGCCUACCAAGGCGACGACGGGUAGCCGGCCUGAGAGGGUGUCCGGCCACACUGGGACUGAGAUACGGCCCAGACUCCUACGGGAGGCAGCAGUGGGGAAUAUUGCACAAUGGGCGCAAGCCUGAUGCAGCGACGCCGCGUGGGGGAUGACGGCCUUCGGGUUGUAAACCUCUUUCAGUAUCGGCGAAGCUCCGUGGUUUUCUGCGGGGUGACGGUAGGUACAGAAGAAGCACCGGCCAACUACGUGC
rnacentral:rRNA from 1 species